rnacentral:ncRNA from 1 species
GCGAGCGUCUCUGGAGAGACCGGACUUGGCGUCCGGCGCCGAAGGUGCAAGGGGCUGCAAGGUCUGCGCUCUCAUUACGGGGGCCGAUCGGGCCGCCCCGGAACUCUCAGGCAAAAGGACAGAGGGGCGCGC